UUUCAUAAAUGUAUCUAUUGAAUGUAUACAUUUCCAAUCGAAAGGUUGUGAGUUCGAGUCUCCCAAGAGUAAGGUGGGAAGUUUUUGGAGGGAAGGAUGCCGGAGGUCUAUUUGGAAACAGUCUCUGUACCCUAGGAUAGGGGUAAGCCCUCCCAAGUGAGAUUAUACUGGGUUGUUGUAUCUAUUGAAUGUAUAACUGGCCUGUUUGAACUUUGAAUGCAUAGCUGACCUGGUCGAGCGAGAUGACAUGGCAACAAGAACGAAUAGGAAAAAGACAAAUGGGCUAUUGAAUUUUACUAUUGUUUCCCCCCUUUUGCGUUCAUUCAUCAUAUGCACGUACAUGGCUCGUCUUUGAGAGAAGAAUCUAUCACCUAAUUGACUCAGGGCUACCUUCGAACCUUAAAUUCAUGUAUUACUUGACUAUUUUUGGUACUUACAACUUUACAUAUGUUUUUCUUCUUUUAAUUUCUUUGUUUGGUUGAAUUGUUAGUGGUACGUAAUGUACUUUUGGGCUGUGCUUCGUAUUGCUUUGAGUAAGUUGAUAAAAAGACCCUUUUUUGGGUUGGAGCAUAGGGUAGAAAUUCUGCGUAUAUUUGGGCGAUGUUAACAAUUUCUUUUAAAGAUCACUGCCUUUUGAGUUUUCUCUUUUUCCGGCAAACUAAUUGAUCGAACGAGGUGGUUGAGUUUCUGACUUCAAAGAAUUUGUCAGUGCUCUUGUGAAAGUUUCAUGGGUGAGUGUCUUUGAUGUUUUAUUGAACAUAUAGGGUUCUAUUGUAGCUGGAAGCUUACCCCUCUUCUAUAUACUGUAAUGUACACAAACAGAAGGAUAUGAAAGAAGACAAACAUUGGUUCUUCCUAAUAGGUUAGUUGGACUUUUUCUUCCUUUGUUGUAUUAUUUUGUAAAACAUGUUGUCACGAUAAUUUCUGUCUUACUUCUAUUCAUUUGAUUUUGUUUGCCUUAAAUAAAAAAAAUUAAUUUGAUUUUGUUUGCUGUUCGGAUAUAACUUCUUGUUGAUUUACCUUCUUUGUUUCAGUUGCUUGUAAAUUAUAGUGACAACAUGUUACCAGAUUUCAGUUUGAUGGUUUCUUUUAUAAAAAUGUUCUUUUCUUUCACUGGGAUGGAUUUUAUCAUCAAGGUGUAGGUUCAUGAAAUCUUAUUUCAGUAAAUCGGAGAAGUUGACUAGCGCCUUUCUCAAGCAGAAUCAAUGGUACAAAAUGCUUACUCAUCAUCAGAACUAAGAGACACUUAAGAAGAUAUGAGAAUUAUAUAUUUCGCCCUCAUGUUUGUAUGUGAAAGCUAUUUUUGUACCCCCCUUAUUUAGAUGCACACUACCUUAGUUGGAUUUAAAUGAAAGACCUGUAAGACGGCGCCUACCCUUCCUUUCUGUUCAUGAAGCCCUCAUAUAUGAUAUAUCUAGUAUCAUAGGUAGAGUGAUAUCUCCAGUUUGCCCAUCCUCUGGCAUUGUGUUUGUAAUGGGACUUGAGCUUAUCUGUGCACCACAACUGCGACCCUUGUCUUCAUGCAAUCAGGCUAUUCUUUGCUACUAAAGUGGCACCUUGUCUCUUGGUCUAUCUCGUCGUCCCUCUCCUAACCUGUCCUUAGUUGCAUAUUUGGACGCUUACUGGCAUAUCAACCCGAUACCUGUUGCUCUACUAUGGUUAUGCUGUUUUUUUUGGUUCUGACAUUGUCGCCUUGAGUGCAAGAAACAACCUACUGGUACUAAACCCAGUGUAUAUUGACAACUCCAAUCCAUCAAUUACAUUGACAAAGCAUAUUCAGAUAAGAGAUAUAGAUUAGUAUUAAGGCAUACCUAUGAAAUGGAUUUAAUAGAUCAAAUGUAAAUUUCAAAGUAGAUACAUAUAUGAGUAAAAUUUUCUUUGUGCAACGUAUAGCCUGAUCGUUCUGUUUCUUUUCUACUUAUUCUUUUUCUUUUAUGAUUGUAGCUGCAGCAUUGUUCAUGUAUCAUGUAUUCUGGUAGGGCUAAUUGUACUUCCCACAUUUUAGCUUUGUCAAGUUUUGCAUUAGCUCUAUUUUGGAAGCAUGUCACGGUAUUGCUUUUCAGACCAGCUAGUAAAUCUAUUGGGAGCAAAGCAAUUAAACUUGCUGAAUAAUGCCACCAAACUCUUAGGUCAUUCAUAUCAAACUGAUGUUGUGUUGAGUAAAGUGGCAUUACUGCCUAUAGUGCUGAUAUGUUCGAGAGAGCACUCUGUCACUUUGGUUGCCUAUCUGAUGCAAAAUCCUUGUGAUAGUGCUCCAACAACCUGCAUUUCAAUCCCCAUUUUUUUUGUUGAAUUCCCUUGGGGAGGCAGGAAGAAGAUAAAGGAUAUAUGAAACCUUCUUGACUAGGAUUUAGGUCUAAUGCUUCCACUAAUCUUAAGAACAAAUUCAGGGAGAUUAGGAAUCAAUUUGGUCAAAUCUGUGGUGGUCUCCAUAGCUAGAUGACUAUGAACCAAAUAGAAACAGAGAUCAUUCACAAUAUUAUAUAUCCCUAGUAAAUUAUCGUUGUUUUAGAAUGGUGUAUAAGAAGAAUAAGGAAGCAAUACUUUUUUCCAAAUGUAGACAAGUGGCUUCUUACCCUUUAAUAUUGAUUUAGGAGUCAUAGAAUUUUCUCAUUCACUCAUUGGUUUGAUCAUUUCACUAAUCAUGCAAUGGAAGUAUGUAAAUUAUCUGCUAUUAGUUAUAUCUGCUUCUCCUCUAGUUUAAGGAGAAUCAUUUCAAUGAAAUUUUGAGCUAUUUUCUGGAUAAAACUUAACCUGACAUCAGAUUUAGACAAUGCUGCAGGAUUCUUUCUAGAUGCUGAAAGUCAUAAGCAUAACCUGUUAAAUUUGGACUCCAUUCAGGAAAACAACCAUGGGAGGAGACAAGAUGAGCAAUGGCCUAAUUAAAUCAGCAUGUGAUGCGCAGCUGGAUCUUUUUGGAACUUGUAAACCUGCUGCACAUUUGGCCAACAAAAGUACGCAGGGGAAGGAACACAUGAGAAUGCAUAUUGAGCCACAAGGAGAGAAUAUAUUCAGGAGAGAGCUCCUCAAUCCAAUCAGGCACCUAAAUGCUCCUUCUAAUCCAUCAUUAAAACUCUCAAGGCGACCAUCGAAGGAUUCCAGCCUAGUUUCAAAGUUAAUGUUAUCUGCUCGACUUUCACAUGCUAUUCUUCCCUUAUGCACCAAUCUCAAAACCAGUGCCAUUUAGACGAGUUUGACUUUAAAACUUGGACAGAUAAGAAGUAGCAAGAGCAUUUGCAAAAUUGAAAUGCAUGCUACGUUGGCUUCCCUUAGUACUGUAAUCAUAUAUCUGAAUCUUGGAAUUCUGAUUCCUCAAUAUAUUCAUCUAUUUUUAAGAGUUAAGACCAGGAAGACUUUUGGCUCCUCAAUCUUCUUGCCGAAGGAGGUGAUCUGGUAAAGCUGGCUUCUGUACUUAAGUGAUACCCUUUUCUCCAUCUGAUAGAGGAUUGAAGAUCUCUGACAUAGGCAGGGGCACACUUAGUUGGCUAAGGAAGUCUAGUGGGCCUGUCCAUGGCACUACACAUUUAGAAGCUACCAGGGGCGCCGUGCCCAUGACAUUAUAUAUGUGAAAAAUGUCUAGCCAACUUCAGAUCAGUGCAAUAGAAGUUUCCCGAUUAGCAUGAGAAGAGAACUCUGCAAUGUAAUCAGGCACCUAUGUUCCUUGGGACUAUAUUCGAAGUUGUCAGCUGAGCCUCAAAAGAGUUCUAUCCACACUUCAAAUCUAUUUCUGGGGAGCGUACAUAUUGUUGUUUUCAGGGACUGCUAGAGGAUCUUUUGGGAGAAAUGCAAUUAAGCUUGCUGAGCAAUGCCACUUUAUACUAAAUUGAUAUUGAGUCGAGCAAAGUGGCAUUGUUAAUUGCUCCAUUUAUAUGUUCGAAAGAAUGGUAGGUUGGCUGCUUUGCCCGCUGAUCUGGUGCCAGAUCCUUGUGCUAGAUCUUCAUUUUGUUUUCUUUGUUGAAUUUGGCUAAGGAUCUAGAAGAAAAAGGACAUAGGAUAAGCAUUCUGAUUAGAUCUACUGCUUCCAAUUAUCUCAGAAGGAAGACAGAUGAUAUCAAGAUUGUCAUAGUUACAGUGGUCUCCAUAUCUAGAUGGACUAUGAAGUAAGAUAAGCAAAUCAUAAGCUAUAUUCCUAAUUUAUCGGUGAUGCCUAAAGUAUGGUGGAUAAGGAGCAUAAGGAAGAAACAUUUCAUCCAGAUUAUGGCCCUUCAUUAGUUUGAUCUUUGAAGCCAAUUAUGCAGAGAAAGUAUGUAAUGAAUAUGCUAUGCGUUUUAUCUGUUUCCCCAUCUAGUCUAAAGAGGACCAUUUCAAUGGAUAUCGAGAUAUUUGAGACACAAACUUAACCUGAUAUCAGAGUAUGGAACAACAACUGCCAGAUUAACAAGAAAGAACAUUGAGGAGCGAGCUUCUAGAUCUGAUCAAGCACCUAAAUGUGGCUUCCAGCGUAUUUUCAAAGCUGUCAAGGUACGGCCCGAAGGUUUCCAGCCUGGUUUCUAAGCUCGCGUUUUCUUCUUGAACUUCAGGUGCUAUUCUGUCUUUGUGUACCAAUCUUGAAAGCAAUGACCAUUUUGAUUGCUUUGGCUUCAAAAGUGGCACACACAGGAAGGACAAGAGCAUUUGGAAAGUUGAAAUGCAUACUGCAUUAGCUUCUCUUAGUGCUCUAAUCGCAUCUAUUGUAUCUUCAUCUGCAUCUGGCAAGACUGAUACUGCAGUCUCUUGAUCCAUUUGUUUCAAAGUCAAGACUAAUAUUUUGGCAUCCCUCUUGAUCUUCUUGCUGAAAGAGGUAAAUCUGGCAACACUGUCAUCUGUAGUUGAAUCUCCUUUUCUCCUUCUGAGAGAUGAUUGAAGAUCUCUUACAUUUUCUUUAUAUUGCGAGACAAGUUCCCUUAUAGUGCAACAAACAUCAAGAAGCCUCGCGGAUUUGUCCAAUAAAUCUUCAAUCCAUUUAGCAUCUAGACUUUGGUAAAUGGUGUAAGCACGUGAUUUUUGCCCUAUAAGAGAAUUACUCCCAAAAAAUUCAAAAAUAAAAUAAUUUUUCUUUG